GAUGAAGAACGUAGCGAAAUGCGAUAAGUAGUGUGAAUUGCAGAAUUCAGUGAAUCAUCGAAUCUUUGAACGCACAUUGCGCCCCUUGGUAUCCCGAGGGGCAUGCCUGUUCGAGCGUCAUUUCACCACUCAAGCCUGGCUUGGUGUUGGGCGACGUCCUCUUUGGGGACGCGCCUCGAAACGCUCGGCGGCGUGGCACCGGCUUUAAGCGUAGCAGAAUCUUUCGCUUUGGAAGUCGGGGCCCCGUCUGCCGGAAAACCUGCUCGCAAGGUUGACCUCGGAUCAGGCAGGGAUACCCGCUGAACUUAAGCAUAUCAAUAAGCGGAUGA
rnacentral:misc_RNA from 1 species